rnacentral:rRNA from 1 species
GACGUAGGGGGCGAGCGUUAUCCGGAUUCACUGGGCGUAAAGGGCGCGUAGGCGGUUACGUAAGUCCGAUGUGAAAAGUCACGGCUCAACUGUGAUCGUGCAUCGGAUACUUCGUUGACUUGAGGUCGGUAGAGGCAAGUGGAACUAGCGGUGUAGCGGUGAAAUGCGCAGAUAUCGCUAGGAACGCCGGUGGCGAAGGCGACUUGCUGGGCCGUACCUGACGCUGAGGCGCGAAAGCUAGGGGAGCGAACCGG